UGGUGGAGCGAUUUGUCUGCUUAAUUGCGAUAACGAACGAGACCUUAACCUGCUAAAUAGCCCGUAUUGCUUUGGCAGUACGCUGGCUUCUUAGAGGGACUAUCGGCUCAAGCCGAUGGAAGUUUGAGGCAAUAACA
rnacentral:rRNA from 1 species